CAACCAAAGCUCCAUCCAUCAAUCCUGCUGUGCCCCAUGAAGACUUUAACCCUUAGAAUAAGAAUUGCCUGCCCCAUUUCUACAAAAUGAGUGUGUUCUUUGAGCAGAAGAGGAGAGAAGAGAAGAAAUGGAACAAUCUUUGCUUUGGAAAUUUAGCUGACUGGCCUCAUUUGGAAUAAGAGCGCCUUCAAUCCCUGGCCGCAGGCGGGCAGUGGAGCCAACAGUAACACCGGAUGCUGGGAUGCUGGGAGGAGGUCUGGAAGCAUCAGAGGAGAUGCCAGGGAACUUGGAGUCCAGAAGGCGGUAGUGGGUUCCUCUCUGGGGAUGAGUCCC
rnacentral:lncRNA from 1 species